rnacentral:rRNA from 1 species
GGCUUGGCUUGCUCUCGGGUGACGAGCGGCGGACGGGUGAGUAAUGUCUGGGAAACUGCCUGAUGGAGGGGGAUAACUACUGGAAACGGUAGCUAAUACCGCAUAAUGUCGCAAGACCAAAGUGGGGGACCUUCGGGCCUCAUGCCAUCAGAUGUGCCCAGAUGGGAUUAGCUAGUAGGUGGGGUAACGGCUCACCUAGGCGACGAUCCCUAGCUGGUCUGAGAGGAUGACCAGCCACACUGGAACUGAGACACGGUCCAGACUCCUACGGGAGGCAGCAGUGGGGAAUAUUGCACAAUGGGCGCAAGCCUGAUGCAGCCAUGCCGCGUGUAUGAAGAAGGCCUUCGGGUUGUAAAGUACUUUCAGCGGGGAGGAAGGCGAUAAGGUUAAUAACCUUGUCGAUUGACGUUACCCGCAGAAGAAGCACCGGCUAACUCCGUGCCAGCAGCCGCGGUAAUACGGAGGGUGCAAGCGUUAAUCGGAAUUACUGGGCGUAAAGCGCACGCAGGCGGUCUGUCAAGUCGGAUGUGAAAUCCCCGGGCUCAACCUGGGAACUGCAUUCGAAACUGGCAGGCUAGAGUCUUGUAGAGGGGGGUAGAAUUCCAGGUGUAGCGGUGAAAUGCGUAGAGAUCUGGAGGAAUACCGGUGGCGAAGGCGGCCCCCUGGACAAAGACUGACGCUCAGGUGCGAAAGCGUGGGGAGCAAACAGGAUUAGAUACCCUGGUAGUCCACGCCGUAAACGAUGUCGAUUUGGAGGUUGUGCCCUUGAGGCGUGGCUUCCGGAGCUAACGCGUUAAAUCGACCGCCUGGGGAGUACGGCCGCAAGGUUAAAACUCAAAUGAAUUGACGGGGGCCCGCACAAGCGGUGGAGCAUGUGGUUUAAUUCGAUGCAACGCGAAGAACCUUACCUGGUCUUGACAUCCACAGAACUUACCAGAGAUGGUUUGGUGCCUUCGGGAACUGUGAGACAGGUGCUGCAUGGCUGUCGUCAGCUCGUGUUGUGAAAUGUUGGGUUAAGUCCCGCAACGAGCGCAACCCUUAUCCUUUGUUGCCAGCGGUCCGGCCGGGAACUCAAAGGAGACUGCCAGUGAUAAACUGGAGGAAGGUGGGGAUGACGUCAAGUCAUCAUGGCCCUUACGACCAGGGCUACACACGUGCUACAAUGGCAUAUACAAAGAGAAGCGACCUCGCGAGAGCAAGCGGACCUCAUAAAGUAUGUCGUAGUCCGGAUUGGAGUCUGCAACUCGACUCCAUGAAGUCGGAAUCGCUAGUAAUCGUAGAUCAGAAUGCUACGGUGAAUACGUUCCCGGGCCUUGUACACACCGCCCGUCACACCAUGGGAGUGGGUUGCAAAAGAAGUAGGUAGCUUAACCUUCGGGAGGGCGCUUACC